GGUUCGAUAGCUCAGUUGGGAGAGCGUACGACUGAAGCUCCACGAAGAGGUUCAUCGUACGGUCGCUGGUUCAAUCCCGGCUCUGACCA